UACGUAGGGCGCGAGCGUUGUCCGGAUUUACUGGGCGUAAAGGGCUCGUAGGCGGUCCGUCGCGUCGGCUGUGAAAGACCGCAGCUCAACUGCGGAAACGCAGUCGAUACGGGCGGACUAGAGGACGGUAGAGGCAAGCGGAAUCCCUGGUGUAGCGGUGAAAUGCGCAGAUAUCAGGAGGAACACCGAUGGCGAAGGCAGCUUGCUGGGCCGUUCCUGACGCUGAGGAGCGAAAGCGUGGGGAGCGAAC
rnacentral:rRNA from 1 species